AGGGACAGCAGCACACACCAUGAUUUCACACAUCGAGUUGGUCUGGCCCCUGGCAUUCUGCAUCGCAGGUAUCAGCGGAGACAUCAUCAUGACCCAGUCUCCCCCGGUGCUGUCAGUGGGACUGGGCCAGACCGCAACACUCACCUGUAAAUCCAGUCAGAGUGCCACGACUGAUGUUGAAUGGUUCCAGCAGCGAGAAGGACAGAAACCCUCUCUCCUGAUCUACAAUGCAGUAAUACGAAACACAGGAGUCUCCGACAGAUUCACCGGGACAGAAGUGUCCAUCACACACUUCACCCUGACAAUCACCAACGUUCAGAAUGAGGAUGUUGCUGACUAUUACUGUCAGCAAAGUAGGAGCUGGCCUUGGCACAGUGAUACAGAGCCAUACAAAAACCUCAAUACACACAGCACCACUGCCUGUACUGACACAUCCCACUGCUAUAUAUAAUAUAUAAUAAUGGACACAAAGUCCCACCUCCUGCCCUGACACAUCCCACCACCAUACAUAAUAUAUAAUAAUGAACACACAGUCACAGUUAUAUAUAAACAAAACUUAACAAAUUAGCUCCAUGCCAGGCU